GAUGAACGCUGGCGGCGUGCCUAAUACAUGCAAGUCGAGCGAACGGACGAGAAGCUUGCUUCUCUGAUGUUAGCGGCGGACGGGUGAGUAACACGUGGAUAACCUACCUAUAAGACUGGGAUAACUUCGGGAAACCGGAGCUAAUACCGGAUAAUAUUUUGAACCGCAUGGUUCAAAAGUGAAAGACGGUCUUGCUUUCACUUAUAGAUGGAUCCGCGCUGCAUUAGCUAGUUGGUAAGGUAACGGCUUACCAAGGCAACGAUGCAUAGCCGACCUGAGAGGGAGAUCGGCCACACUGGAACUGAGACACGGCACCGACUCCUACGGGAGGCAGCAGUAGGGAAUCUUCCGCAAUGGGCGAAAGCCUGACGGAGCAACGCCGCGUGAGUGAUGAAGGUCUUCGGAUCGUAAAACUCUGUUAUUAGGGAAGAACAUAUGUGUAAGUAACUGUGCACAUCUUGACGGUACCUAAUCAGAAAGCCACGGCUAACUACGUG
rnacentral:rRNA from 1 species